UUUCCGUAGGUGAACCUGCGGAAGGAUCAUUACCGAGUGAGGGCCCUCUGGGUCCAACCUCCCACCCGUGUUUAUUGUACCUUGUUGCUUCGGCGGGCCCGCCUCCCGGCCGCCGGGGGGCUUCUGCCCUCUGGCCCGCGCCCGCCGAAGACACCAUUGAACACUGUCUGAAGAUUGCAGUCUGAGCAAUUAGCUAAAUAAGUUAAAACUUUCAACAACGGAUCUCUUGGUUCCGGCAUCGAUGAAGAACGCAGCGAAAUGCGAUACGUAAUGUGAAUUGCAGAAUUCAGUGAAUCAUCGAGUCUUUGAACGCACAUUGCGCCCCUUGGUAUUCCGGGGGGCAUGCCUGUCCGAGCGUCAUUGCUGCCCUCAAGCACGGCUUGUGUGUUGGGCCCCGUCCUCCUUCCCGGGGGACGGGCCCGAAAGGCAGCGGCGGCACCGCGUCCGGUCCUCGAGCGUAUGGGGCUUUGUCACCCGCUCUUGUAGGCCCGGCCGGCGCUUGCCGACAACCAUCAAUCUUUUUUCAGGUUGACCUCGGAUCAGGUAGGGAUACCCGCUGAACUUAAGCAUAUCAAUAAGCGG
rnacentral:rRNA from 1 species